GGGAGGCAGCAGUGGGGAAUAUUGCACAAUGGGCGCAAGCCUGAUGCAGCCAUGCCGCGUGUGUGAAGAAGGCCUUCGGGUUGUAAAGCACUUUCAGCGGGGAGGAAGGCGAUAAGGUUAAUAACCUUGUCGAUUGACGUUACCCGCAGAAGAAGCACCGGCUAACUCCGUGCCAGCAGCCGCGGUAAUACGGAGGGUGCAAGCGUUAAUCGGAAUUACUGGGCGUAAAGCGCACGCAGGCGGUCUGUCAAGUCGG
rnacentral:rRNA from 1 species